ACCUGGAAACAGUUAUGUGCCACUAAGCCAGGAUACUACAGGGUAUCAGCUCCUAAGGGGGUGAAAAGGGGUAAAAUAUUCUGCCCAGCAAACCUUUGCCCGGUUGAAACAGGUCACAUCAGCUAGUUUAUUUUAUUACACCAUGCAGCACGUCAGUUGUGGUUCUCCAAUAUUCUGCUGUGCAUAUUUUUACGGAUGCUUCCUUUGGACGCCGGAUUCUUGUGCCCGCUACAGUGCAUCCCUUCCCAUGAGGAACUGCUUUAGGACAUCCCCGAUGUAAUUCCCUGUGGAAUCACAGUGUACCCCGCUGCAGAAAAGAAGAUUUAUGGUAAGAACUUUUUUAAACUUUGUUAAAUCUCUUUGUGCGAGGUACACUGGAUUCCACAGGGUGCCCAUCCUGACGCACUUAGCUUCUUUGGGUUUGUAUGGCAUUAGCCGCUGGUACCUUCUCCUGUCGUAAGAAUGUAGUUGUAUGUGGCUACUAACUGUUGUCGUCUCUUUUACAUGCUACUGCAUUGGACUGGUUAACAAAACUGAGCUCCAGUGCCUGGAGGCGGGGAUAUGGAGGAGGUGGCACUAUGCAUCCUGAGAACAGUCAAAGCUUUUAGCCUGUUGGUGCCUCGAAUCAAGAUCCAACUCUACACCCCGAUGUUAUUCCCUGUGGAAUCCAGUGUACCUCGCAGAAAUAGAUUUAACAAAAAGUUUGGGCUGUUACCCUGUGGAGUUGGAAGGACCUAGAGGCUUUGGGUUUAGCCUCCGUGGAGGAGCCUGUGACAGAAUGGACACCCCAAAGAGGACCCCACUAAUGAAAGAAAAUACAAAUUUAACGGUUGGAGAUUAGAUAGUAGAAAUUAUGGAGAACUAAUGCAAGGCAUCACUCAUACUCGAGCCAUUGAGCUGAUCCAAGCUGGUGGGACCAAAGUUCUCCUAUUACUGAGACCAGGAACAGGGCUUAUUCCUGACCAUGAUUAGAUGAGUACAGUCAAAGAAGGAAAAGAGAGAUAAGAAAGAUAGCAAAGAGGAAGACAAACCAGACAUAAGGGCAAAGGAUGGGGAGGAUCAUGAGCUGCAGUGGUCAUUUCACCAUCAAUAAUUAGAUACGUUCUUUGGUGCAAAUUCAUGAAUACGUCAAGACAUUUCCAGUAUGUGUAUGGGAAAACAAUCUCAAUGUAUGAGCAAUGUAAAAUAAAUUAAAAUAAGAAUGUAGCCCUAGGCCAAAAGUAACAGGGUCAGUUCAGUUUUCGUAUGAGUGCCCAAGAUGUAUUGUCAAAAACCUUCAUGACAUUUUCAUGUGUUUCUUGAGGCAAAAACUCUAAAUAGAGGCUCCACUUUUUGAAAAAUCUACUCACUUCCUUUUCUAUGUCAUAUAAAGCUGCCUUUCGAUCAAAAUAUAAAAAGUUUAAAAGUUCAGUCUGGAGCAACGUAAGCGUGGGUAUUGACUUUGAGAUCCAGACAGAGAGUAUAAGUUUUUUGGCUAAUGUUACCAAUAAGACCAAAAAAGGGAGAACAGAUCUAUGCAGUAGUGAGGGCACCCAACCCGAAAAAUCUGACAAUAGAAACAUUUCCCAGGCAAAGGGUAAUCUAACCUUCAUAAUUUGUUGAAUAAAGUUAUGAGUCUUA